UACGUAGGGCGCAAGCGUUGUCCGGAAUUAUUGGGCGUAAAGAGCUCGUAGGCGGCCUGUUGCGUCCGCUGUGAAAUCCCGGGGCUCAACCCCGGGCCUGCAGUGGAUACGGGCUGGCUGGAGGCAGGCAGGGGAGAACGGAAUUCCUGGUGUAGCGGUGAAAUGCGCAGAUAUCAGGAGGAACACCGGUGGCGAAGGCGGUUCUCUGGGCCUGUUCUGACGCUCAGGCGCGAAAGCUAGGGGAGCGAACAGG
rnacentral:rRNA from 1 species